rnacentral:rRNA from 1 species
UACAGAGGUCUCAAGCGUUGUUCGGAUUCAUUGGGCGUAAAGGGCGCGUAGGCUGCGGGGCAAGUCGGGUGUGAAAUCUCAGAGCUCAACUCUGAAACUGCACUCGAUACUGCUUUGCUCGAGGACUGGAGAGGAGAUUGGAAUUCACGGUGUAGCAGUGAAAUGCGUAGAUAUCGUGAGGAAGACCAGUGGCGAAGGCGGAUCUCUGGGACAAGUUCCUGACGCUGAGGCGCGAAGGCCAGGGGAGCAAACGGG